rnacentral:rRNA from 1 species
AGCUCCAUUAGCGUAUAUUAAAGUUGUUGCAGUUAAAAAGCUCGUAGUUGGAUUUCGGUGUGGGCCAGUGGGUCGGCCGCGAGGCCUGUUACUGACUGGUCCGCUCUUCCUCCCAAAGACUGCGCGUGCCCUUCGCUGGGUGUGCGUAUUUGGAUUUGGGACGUUUACUUUGAAAAAAUUAGAGUGUUCAAGGCAGGCUCGCCAGCUUGAAUACAUGAGCAUGGAAUAAUGGAAUAGGACUACGGUCCCUAUUUCGUUGGUUUGACGGACCGAAGUAAUGAUUAAGAGGGACAAUUGGGGGCAUCCGUAUUUCGUAGUCAGAGGUGAAAUUCUUGGACCUACGAAAGACGAACGACUGCGAAAGCAUUUGCCAAGAGUGUUUUCAUUAAUCAAGAACGAA